GAUGAACGCUGGCGGCGUGCCUAAUACAUGCAAGUCGAGCGAACGGACGAGAAGCUUGCUUCUCUGAUGUUAGCGGCGGACGGGUGAGUAACACGUGGAUAACCUACCUAUAAGACUGGGAUAACUUCGGGAAACCGGAGCUAAUACCGGAUGAUAUUUUGAACCGCAUGGUUCAAAAGUGAAAGACGGUCUUGCUGUCACUUAUAGAUGGAUCCGCGCUGCAUUAGCUAGUUGGUAAGGUAACGGCUUACCAAGGCAACGAUGCAUAGCCGACCUGAGAGGGUGAUCUGCCACACUGGAACUGAGACACGGUCCAGACUCCUACGGGAGGCAGCAGUAGGGAAUCUUCCGCAAUGGGCGAAAGCCUGACGGAGCAACGCCGCGUGAGUGAUGAAGGUCUUCGGAUCGUAAAACUCUGUUAUUAGGGAAGAACAUAUGUGUAAGUAACUGUGCACAUCUUGACGGUACCUAAUCAGAAAGCCACGGCUAACUACGUG
rnacentral:rRNA from 1 species